rnacentral:rRNA from 1 species
UACGAAGGGGGCUAGCGUUGCUCGGAAUCACUGGGCGUAAAGGGUGCGUAGGCGGGUCUUUUAAGUCAGGGGUGAAAUCCUGGAGCUCAACUCCAGAACUGCCUUUGAUACUGAAGAUCUUGAGUUCGGGAGAGGUGAGUGGAACUGCGAGUGUAGAGGUGAAAUUCGUAGAUAUUCGCAAGAACACCAGUGGCGAAGGCGGCUCACUGGCCCGAUACUGACGCUGAGGCACGAAAGCGUGGGGAGCAAACCGGG